rnacentral:other from 1 species
UAUCUCCUGCAGUAAUCGAGAGUGUGCUGGGUGUUUCCUGAACCUGUUUUUACCCCGGGGUUGAAAUCCGCUAAUGGUGUGUAUGCCCGUUUUAUACGGGAAACCUGAUUUACCGGUUACGUCCCCACUUGAACCUCCGGUUCAAGGACGAAAGCACAUAACGACACAGGCGGGAGAUGC